UACGUAGGGUGCGAGCGUUGUCCGGAAUUAUUGGGCGUAAAGGGCUCGUAGGCGGUUUGUCGCGUCGGGAGUGAAAACACCGUGCUUAACACGGCGCUUGCUUUCGAUACGGGCAGACUAGAGGUAUGCAGGGGAGAACGGAAUUCCUGGUGUAGCGGUGAAAUGCGCAGAUAUCAGGAGGAACACCGGUGGCGAAGGCGGUUCUCUGGGCAUUACCUGACGCUGAGGAGCGAAAGUGUGGGGAGCGAACAGG
rnacentral:rRNA from 1 species